UUGAGUUAUAUGAAAUUAAUAGAGCCACCUCCUACCUCCCAAGCCCUCCAUCCCUUUAGAAUGCACCAAAUGAGCACCAAAAACACAUUUCAGAUAGCAACUGCUGCUGACCCAGGGGAAAUCCCUGUGUUUUCAGUGUGGUUGGAUUCAGCAACCACUUGGUACUACUUGACUCUAAAAUUAGAAAGUUGUCUCUCGCUCUUUUUAUAUGCACCUGCAGCCUGAUUAUGCAGUUCCAUUUACUACAUAAAAGAAGAAGGUAUCCAGACUCAAGCUCUUUGAUUAAUCAAAUAUUUUCCCUCAUUUCCAGAUAUCCCCCUGGGCAGUAUGCAGAGACAUGCCUUUUUACCUGAGUGUGUGCCUACUUAACAACUGUUCACUGUCCAUGGAUCCCAGGGACAAAUCUGGGAAACAUCUCCAAGAAGUUCAUUCUAGAAGUCGCAACUCCCUAAGAGGAUCUCCCUGCCUGGAUUUCUAUAGCUAACGGAAAUCCAACUGUACUUAUCACUCGAGGCCCUGAGAUGUUUACGGUACUAUAAAUUUUAGGCACAGUUUCAAGUUCUCCACAGCAGAAGGCAGCCUUCUCUGAGCACUGUGCACUGCCGACUCUGUUCUUAAUUUAACACAGUCUGCACACUGUGAUUAUGAUAGUGGGAAAAUCACAGAGGCCAGGGCCAAGAAGGUCUACAUAUGGACACGAGGCGUCUUUGGCAUCUUCCUCUAACCUUGCCACUCUGAUGGCAGCAGUGGCUUGGGAGUUCCUUCGACCUCAUGUCCCUGGCAGGAGUUGAAAUGAAUAAUAAAGCAGAGUUUAUGAUUUGAUAGAACCCAGAGUGGGGAGCAGCAAGGAGUGAAGCUGUCUUAUUUUAGGAAGCAUGAUGAUGACUUUGAAAAACAAAAUGAAUCCUAUACUGCCCUUUGCAGAGAAUGGGUGGGGUUUUGGUGGUUGUUUGUGUCUUUAAGAAAAGGAAAGAUUCCAGGAAUCAGAGUUUAAUCAUUUGAUCUAAAAUGGAAAGGAACAGCUGAUUUCUAGGUGGUAGGGUCCUGCCCUGCUGAGACCAUGGAGAAAUGUCCCCAGCCUCUGCUGGAGCAGCACGCAGGUCCCUCCCAAGUGGCACCUCUGCCCUCCUUCUGGAGAAUGCUAUCAGGCUACCUGCUGUUCUCUCUGUACCUUUAGGUAGGGCAGCUUCUGAAAUCCUAAACUGCACAGAGUGCCAUUCUAGAGAGACAGUAGCUGCUAAAUUAGAGAAGCAAGAGACCACAAGGUUGCCUUUUGGUUUUCUAGGAAAGAACACAUGAUCAGUGCCCUGGAUGGGGAGACAGGAGAGUUUCAGGGACCACCCCCCCCAGGUCCACUCUGCACUCCUCCAUGCUGGGAAGGGGGUGAGGGUGAAGGGGGUGAGAGUGAGGGGCGGGAUGCCAAUGCUGACCCCACAUGCUGGACCUCUCACACAUGAAGUCCAGAGCUAUCCCGAUGCUUGGGGUUGGCAGAUAACAGAGGGUUAAUUGGCAGGCUGGAACAAGGACAGCGGCAUGUGAAUUGCUUUUGUAGCGCCAGCAAGGCCAGAGGCCAGAGCUUCCUGUCACACUGGCCUGCAGGCAAGACCCCCAUUUCACAGGAGCAGGUCUCUCAUGUGCGAUCUGGCCCCACCCCAUCUUCACAGGCAGCUGUACUUGGAAGCAAAUGAUUUAGUGCUCCUGAGAGAGGAUUGUACAAAGAGAGUACUCAUUAGAGGGGGCUCAAUCUGUCAGGUGCUGUUAUGUCAGGAUCACAGAGUCAUCAGAAAAUUACUUUCAUGCUGGUCUUGGCUGAUAACCCACUGUAUGGCAUCGCCCGUGUAUUGUGGAGGCUCUGGAGCUGAUUUGUGCAUCGGUUUACUUAUCUGAACGGAAAGACUGCUCCCUGCAUUCACAUCCGCUGCCUGUAUGCUUUCUCUCUCCCCCAUGUUUCUGACAUUUGGAUUUUCCCCUACUAAUUGACAUGCCUGCCGUCUCCUUCUCCUGGUGCCCAUUUCUGGAACUGCUAUUUGUAUAUUGCAUGAUGUUUUAUCGGGGGAAAAUAAAACAGAUCCAAUGUCAUGAAAAUGCUGUUUGCCAUAAUGCUCAGGAGGACAGGGGGAAGAGAAAGAGUCAAGUUUUCCUACUGUCUACCCCAUGUGCAGCUCAAGAUUUCCUGGAUUUUAUUCAAAGUCCCUCUGUUCAAGCCUCCCAAGGUUUCCACUGGUCAGUGCUGAGACUGAGCACCUUAGCUGCAUAACUCCACAAGGACUGAGACCUCGCUACUCUCCUUGGACACCUUCCCGAGUCCUACCAGUGAUUCACAAGAAAUGGACACAUUGCACAACUCUUGCCAGUGAGGUGAAGUCUGGAACUUGUGGGAAAGUUCUUCUUUCCCUUCAGAAAAAAUGGAAAUAAGAAAAGCACCUAUUUUCCUGUCUCUGAAUGUCAUUAUGAGAGGCUGUAAUCCUGGGAACAGCCAUCUUGUGACCUUGAAGAAGGAAAAGUCAAGAUUAUUCCAGGAUAGCUGACAUCAUUGAGCUGUUAUCUGGACUUCAGUGGAAUUACUCAACACCCAGACUUCC